rnacentral:rRNA from 1 species
AUUGAACGCUGGCGGCAGGCCUAACACAUGCAAGUCGAGCGGAUGAAGGGAGCUUGCUUCUGGAUUCAGCGGCGGACGGGUGAGUAAUGCCUAGGAAUCUGCCUGGUAGUGGGGGAUAACGUCCGGAAACGGGCGCUAAUACCGCAUACGUCCUGCGGGAGAAAGUGGGGGAUCUUCGGACCUCACGCUAUCAGAUGAGCCUAGGUCGGAUUAGCUAGUUGGUGGGGUAAAGGCCUACCAAGGCGACGAUCCGUAACUGGUCUGAGAGGAUGAUCAGUCACACUGGAACUGAGACACGGUCCAGACUCCUACGGGAGGCAGCAGUGGGGAAUAUUGGACAAUGGGCGAAAGCCUGAUCCAGCCAUGCCGCGUGUGUGAAGAAGGUCUUCGGAUUGUAAAGCACUUUAAGUUGGGAGGAAGGGCAGUAGGUUAAUACCUUGCUGUUUUGACGUUACCAACAGAAUAAGCACCGGCUAACUUCGUG